CUGCCUUUAGUAUAAUUGGUAAGAACAUGUGACUGUAAAAAUGUUUAUGGUAAUCACAAAGAUGCUGGUUCGAGUCCGGCGGGGCAGA